UUUAAGGGAAGUGUAGCCACAAAAGCAUCGACACUGGAGCCAACACUGCCAAGUGCCACCCUCCACUCUGCAGCUGUCUGUGGGGUCUUGGUCAAGAGACCUGACCUCUGUGCCUCAGUUUCUCGUUUCUAAAGGAGAAUAAUAUAGGGCCUAUCUGAUGGGUUGUGAGGCUUAAGUGAGCAAAAACGUGUCUCCUGCUUUGAACGACACUAGAUAAACAGAUGAUCAGUGUCGUCUCUCUGCCCACCGGGGAGAAAUGUUUGACGGAGGAUGUAGAAGGACCCAAGUUUGCAGGUUCCUGGCUCUCACAUCUUUGCCAGUUAUGAGGACUGGGGGUUUGGUUUGAGGUCCUGGGCAUCUGGAUCCUCAGAAAACUUGGCAGGCUGAUGAUCUGAGGUUGUGCUAAGAGCCAGGUGGGAGUGUGGGGGGUCCAGGAGCCCAGGCCCCAUCAAGGCCACCCUUCACUCCUGCCCCCAUCUCCAGCCUCCGGUAGCUGCUCUCCAUUCCCCUGUUCUGGCCUGUUAUGAGUGGCCUCUCCUGGGGCUGGGCUGUGACCCUAGUCCCCUGGGACAGGAACAGCUUGUGCUAGCCUGAGGUUCCCAGGCUCAGCCAGGCCUCAGCUCGGGCAGGAUUAGGCCGGGUGUCAGCUCUCAACCCUGGCCUAAGCUGGCCUUGUACUGGGGGAUGGUUAGAGACCAGGGAGCUCAUCUCUGAACCCCACUCAAACCCAGCUCAUGGUAUAGGGCCUGUUGUGUGUGCUGGUGAGCCAGUCAUAAGCCAGGGUGUGGGCGCAGCCCUCCUGUCUCCUGUGUCUCCUCCCUGCUGUGUGGCCUCUCCCACUCUUGAGGCCUCUGAAGGUCUACCCACCAUGUUCCCCACUGCAGGUGGGGCUGCCAUCUCUAGGAGCUGAGUUGGCCAGACUCACUUCUCUGCCUUCCUCUCUCUCCACUGGAGGGUAAAGCUGAGAGUUGGCAUCUGUUCCUCCAGCCUCUGUCCCCCCUCAACAUCUCCUAUCAGACUCUCCCAGAAGAGGAAACUCAUGCUCCAGGCAGCCCCAUCCACCAGUCGGAAACCUGGAGAGAGAUAGAAGGUCAUGGGGCUGCUGUGUGCCUCCCCACCCGAUACACACUGCUGGGGAGGAGGCUGAGGCCAGGUGGAGCCUCCACCACGGUGCUCCCCAAGCCUCUCCUCUGAGGAGCUUUGGGAGCCUUGAGAAAG
rnacentral:lncRNA from 1 species